UACGUGAGGGGCGAACGUUGUUCGGUGUCACUGGGCUUAAAGGGUGCGUAGGUGGUUGCGUAAGUAACGUGUGAAAUCCCUCGGCUUACCCGGGGAAUUGCAUGUUAUACUGCGUGACUUGAGGGCUAAAGGGGAAAAGGGAACUCCAGGUGUAGCGGUGAAAUGCGCAGAUAUCUGGGGGAAGGCCGGCGGCGAAGGCGGCAUCCUGGACCGACACUGACGCUGAGGAGCGAAAGCCAGGGGAGCAAAGCGGG
rnacentral:rRNA from 1 species